GACGUAGGGUGCGAGCGUUAAUCGGAAUUACUGGGCGUAAAGCGUGCGCAGGCGGUGAUGUAAGACAGGUGUGAGAUCCCCGGGCUUAACCUGGGAACUGCAUUUGUGACUGCAUCGCUGGAGUGCGGCAGAGGGGGAUGGAAUUCCGCGUGUAGCAGUGAAAUGCGUAGAUAUGCGGAGGAACACCGAUGGCGAAGGCAAUCCCCGUGGGCCUGCACCUGGACGCUCAUGCACGAAAGCGUGGGGAGCAAACAGGA
rnacentral:rRNA from 1 species